GCUGCUCUGAACAGGCAGGUGGAGACACCUCAGCCCGGACAGACGCCACCGACAGCCCAGAAGGACCCCAAGGAGCAGCUGGCAUUGCCUGGGAUGGAGGCACGGGCCGUUUGUAGGGGGCCUCAGACAGCAGUUCCCAUUUCCGAUCUCCCAGAGCUCCCACACAGCUGCCAGAUAUUGAAUCCCAAGCAAUAUACCUUGGAGAUGCCUUAAAAUCAGAGGUUUGAGCAGGAUGAAGUUUGGAACUUUCCAGGGAGCCAGCUGGAAGUGCAGAAGUGGUGGAAAACUUUCACAGUGAGAAGAACAGGAACUCACAGCCACUGAGGCCUGACAGGUUCCUGCAGCGAGGGCUCAGCGCACGUCCACAGAGGAGCAUGGGAUGGGAACCCCCCUCCUCCUCAGCAGCCUGGGGAGCUGAACUGAGAAGAGGAACUCCCACCACCAGAAGCUCAUCAAUGCUGCUCCAGCCCCUCGUGGACACAGCUCCUGCUGGAAUAGCAAUGAUAACACGACUGGUUCUCAUGAAGCAGCAGUUCUUGUUCUCAGGAGCACAUUUACAGGAGGAGACAGCUGUACCCUGACCAGGAUUAGAGGGCCCUGCUGCCAGCCAGCUGGAGGAGAAGGAGAAUUGGAUCUCCUGGGCUGUGUGGGUCCAUGGCCUGGCACGUCUGACCCACAGAGGGACAGCUGUGGUGCACACUGGCCCUCAGUGUCCCCUGAUGCCACCAAGGGGCGUGGGAGUGGAUCCCAUUUCCAUUUCUGGGCUCACAGGAGGACCCCAGCAGCUGCAGGGAAUUACCUGGGAAGGAGUGGCACAAACAGCCCGUGGUGGCUGGCCCAGAGGCUCUGCAGCCCCAGCACAGACCGGCUCAGCAGUGAGUGCUGCAGAGACCCAAAGGACAGCGCUGGGCUUUUGGCAUUGCUGCUGCACAGACAGGAGCCAUCAGAGAGCUGAGUGCCCUGCCUGGUCCCUCGGAUCAGCCUCUGCUGUGGGACUGCUGGGGGCUGAAGAACAGCAGGUACCAAUCCCCACAGCAGCCCUGCACCAUCAGCAACUCCUCAUCAUAACACAAACUGGCUCUAGAACAGCCCAACAAAGGCAAAGUGCUUUGGUUUCUUUCCUCCCCUUAAUUAAACCAAAAUAAAGCCCUAAAUAAGA